CCCUAGCCCUGAUAGCAGCGACAUCCUUUUUCUGCUUUUUUUGGCAGAAAAAGAUAUAGCGAAUAGCAGGAAAUAGC
rnacentral:sRNA from 1 species